CACGUAGGGUGCGAACGUUGUCCGGAAUUAUUGGGCGUAAAGAGCUCGUAGGCGGUCUGUCGCGUCGGUCGUGAAAACCUGCAGCUUAACUGUGGGCUUGCGGUCGAUACGGGCAUGACUGGAGUUCGGCAGGGGAGACUGGAAUUCCUGGUGUAGCGGUGAAAUGCGCAGAUAUCAGGAGGAACACCGGUGGCGAAGGCGGGUCUCUGGGCCGAUACUGACGCUGAGGAGCGAAAGCGUGGGGAGCGAACAGG
rnacentral:rRNA from 1 species